rfam:Medicago truncatula strain A17 chromosome 1, whole genome shotgun sequence.
AGCAAAAUGAUGAGGUUUUAAGAUCUGAAUAUAAUGUGGAUUCAUUAUUGAAAUGGUCUUCAAAGUUCUCUGAUUGCU